UGGUCACACCAAUGAUGUUGAAACACCAGUUCCCAUAUGAUCACCAAAGUUAAGUAGCAUCAAGCCUGGUCAGUACCCAGAUGGGUGACCAUUUGGGAAUACCAGAUGCUGUAAG